rnacentral:misc_RNA from 1 species
AUUUAUAGCUUGUGAUUAAUUUAGUUUUGCAACUGCUUAGAUAUCACUUUCAAGUGACUUCUAGUUUUAAGUUUUUAAGCUCUUCUAUUUGCAUUUGCUACUGAUUUUUCUUGUUUUUAGAUAGCCUGCUAAAAACCCAUUAGAGAACUAACAAAUGGUUUUGAAAAGCGAUCGUUCUUUUUUUCUUUUCUUUUCUUUUUCUUUUUCACUUCAAUCAGUUAUGGUGGCGACAUCCCAUCUCCCUUUUCGCUUUUGGCUGGGGAUUGGUCCAUGAUAACCCACAAAAGAUGGUUAUAAUAACAAAAGCCCAGUUCUCAUCAAACUAUGGCUGUUAGUUAGAACAGUUAUAAAGGGUUUUCUUGUAAAUUACUUUAAGAUGGUCUAAUAUAUAUGUUCCUUUAAUUAAUCUUGUGUUUUAUUUUUUUUUAAUUUAU